rnacentral:lncRNA from 1 species
UUGGAAUAGCCUUCUAGAAGCUGUCUAUUGGUUAUUUCCAUGCAUCAUAAAGCCACCGUCCACCCAGGGGAAGUAGGAGAUUCUUAAAGAAAACUUAAACAUUAAGUAUGCAUGUACUCUCCUCCAACGCAUUAAAUGCAGCCACCACCUUAAAUCCAAGUGCAUGGACGACAAAGGAGCAUGAACAUGGCUGGUCACACAUGCUUUUAAUGUUUGAAUAACAUAAACUUUAGUUUAUUGGCCCUUUUAAAUUCAUGUAUUCCCAUUUAUGGCCGAAUGUGUCCAUUAGUCUACAUAGGUUGAACGACAGAAAUGUGCAAGUGUACACAAUCACAACAAGUAAUAAAGUGACAAGUAAAUGUCG